CUUGUGUCCAGUCUAAUUCUAUGUCAUGUCACUUGGAUAUUGGCGUAGACUCGCUUUUGGACAAUAGAAAUUCAAUGUCUUUUAUUAUCCUUGUGCUUGUUGUGCAACUCCUCGGCUUGCACACGAGAAACGUAGAAGAACAAUA